GAUGAACGCUGACAGAAUGCUUAACACAUGCAAGUCGACUCGAGUCUUCGGACUUGGGUGGCGCGCGGGUGAGUAACGCGUAAAGAACUUGCCUCUUAGACCGGGGCAACAUCUGGAAACGGAUGCUAAUACCGGAUAUUAUGGUUUUUUCGCAUGGAGGAAUCAUGAAAGCUGGAUGCGCUAAGAGAGAGCUUUGCGUCCCAUUAGCUAGUUGGUGAGGUAACGGCCCACCAAGGCAAUGAUGGGUAGCCGGCCUGAGAGGGUGAACGGCCACAAGGGGACUGAGACACGGCCCUUACUCCUACGGGAGGCAGCAGUGGGGAAUAUUGGACAAUGGACCGCAAGUCUGAUCCAGCAAUUCUGUGUGCACGAUGACGUUUUUCGGAAUGUAAAGUGCUUUCAGUCGGGAAGAAGUCAGUGACGGUACCGACAGAAGAAGCGACGGCUAAAUACGUGCCAGCAGCCGCGGUAAUACGUAUGUCGCAAGCGUUAUCCGGAUUUAUUGGGCGUAAAGCGCGUCUAGGCGGCAAGGAAAGUCUGAUGUGAAAAUGCGGAGCUCAACUCCGUAUGGCGUUGGAAACUGCCUUACUAGAGUACUGGAGAGGUAGGCGGAACUACAAGUGUAGAGGUGAAAUUCGUAGAUAUUUGUAGGAAUGCCGAUGGGGAAGCCAGCCUACUGGACAGAUACUGACGCUAAAGCGCGAAAGCGUGGGGUAGCAUACAGGAUUAUAUACCCUGGUAGUCCAAGGGCGAAUUCCACAGUGGAUAUCAAGCUUUAUCGAUACCUGUCGACCUCGAGGGGGGGGAAACGGUACCCAGCUUUUGUUCCCUUUAGUGAGGUGUUAAAUUAAAUGUGUUGCCGCUGUGAAUACUACAUUGAUAUUACACGCUGUGCAUUCUGGUAAUUUCGUUUGUCUUUGUGUGUUGUUUCUAGUUUUAGUGUGUGUGCCGCCUGCCUCUUCGUGCUGUGAUUCUCUGUGCUAUCGUGUAAUAAAUAAACAAUACUUGAGAAAAUUGUUGUGCAGUAGCGAUGUGUGUCUUAGCUGCUAUAUGAUGUGCUGUGCAUGCUUAGUUGCCUGAAUGAUGGUGACUUAACCUGCAU
rnacentral:rRNA from 1 species